rnacentral:rRNA from 1 species
GGCCUGGCGGCAUGCUUACCAUGCAAGUCGAACGAACCUUCGGGUUAGUGGCGGACGGGUGAGUAACGCGUGAGAAUCUGCCCUCAGGAGGGGGAUAACGGUUGGAAACGGCCGCUAAUACCCCAUAUGCCGCGAGGUGAAAUGAAUUUCGCCUGAGGAUGAGCUCGCGUCUGAUUAGCUAGUUGGUGUAGGUAAUGGCUCACCAAGGCAUCGAUCAGUAGCUGGUCUGAGAGGAUGAUCAGCCACACUGGGACUGAGACACGCCCCAGACUCCUACGGGAGGCAGCAGUGGGGAAUUUUCCGCAAUGGGCGAAAGCCUGACGGAGCAACGCCGCGUGAGGGAUGAAGGCCUCUGGGCUGUAAACCUCUUUUAUCAAGGAAGAAGAUCUGACGGUACUUGAUGAAUAAGCCACGGCUAAUUCCGUGCCAGCAGCCGCGGUAAUACGGGAGUGGCAAGCGUUAUCCGGAAUUAUUGGGCGUAAAGCGUCCGCAGGCGGCCCUUCAAGUCUGCUGUUAAAAAGUGGAGCUUAACUCCAUCAUGGCAGUGGAAACUGUUGGGCUUGAGUGUGGUAGGGGCAGAGGGAAUUCCCGGUGUAGCGGUGAAAUGCGUAGAUAUCGGGAAGAACACCAGUGGCGAAGGCGCUCUGCUGGGCCAUCACUGACGCUCAUGGACGAAAGCCAGGGGAGCGAAAGGGAUUAGAUACCCCUGUAGUCCUGGCCGUAAACGAUGAACACUAGGUGUCGGGGGAAUCGACCCCCUCGGUGUCGUAGCCAACGCGUUAAGUGUUCCGCCUGGGGAGUACGCACGCAAGUGUGAAACUCAAAGGAAUUGACGGGGGCCCGCACAAGCGGUGGAGUAUGUGGUUUAAUUCGAUGCAACGCGAAGAACCUUACCAGGGUUUGACAUCCUGCGAAUCUCUUGGAAACGAGAGAGUGCCUUCGGGAGCGCAGUGACAGGUGGUGCAUGGCUGUCGUCAGCUCGUGUCGUGAGAUGUUGGGUUAAGUCCCGCAACGAGCGCAACCCACGUCUUUAGUUGCCAGCAUUUAGUUGGGCACUCUAGAGAGACCGCCGGUGAUAAACCGGAGGAAGGUGUGGAUGACGUCAAGUCAUCAUGCCCCUUACAUCCUGGGCUACACACGUACUACAAUGCUACGGACAAAGGGCUGCAAGUUCGCGAGGACAAGCAAAUCCCAUAAACCGUGGCUCAGUUCAGAUCGUAGGCUGCAACUCGCCUACGUGAAGGAGGAAUCGCUAGUAAUCGCAGGUCAGCAUACUGCGGUGAAUACGUUCCCGGGCCUUGUACACACCGCCCGUCACACCAUGGAAGUUGGCCACGCCCGAAGCCGUUACUCCAACCCUUGGGAGGAGGACGUCGAAGGUGGGCGUAUG